UACGAAGGGGGCUAGCGUUGCUCGGAAUCACUGGGCGUAAAGCGCACGUAGGCGGCUUUUUAAGUCAGGGGUGAAAUCCUGGAGCUCAACUUCAGAACUGCCUUUGAUACUGGGAAGCUCGAGUCCGGGAGAGGUGAGUGGAACUCCGAGUGUAGAGGUGAAAUUCGUAGAUAUUCGGAAGAACACCAGUGGCGAAGGCGGCUCACUGGCCCGGUACUGACGCUGAGGUGCGAAAGCGUGGGGAGCAAACAGG
rnacentral:rRNA from 1 species